rnacentral:rRNA from 1 species
UGCAAGUCGAACGGAAAGGCCUCGAGCUUGCWCRRAGGUACUCGAGUGGCGAACGGGUGAGUAACACGUGGGUGAUCUGCCCUGCACUGUGGGAUAAGCCUGGGAAACUGGGUCUAAUACCAUAUAUGACCACCUUUUGGAUGGGGUGGUGGAAAGCUUUUGCGGUGUGGGAUGAGCCUGCGGCCUAUCAGCUUGUUGGUGGGGUAAUGGCCUACCAAGGCGGCGACGGGUAUCCGGCCUGAGAGGGUGUACGGACACAUUGGGACUGAGAUACGGCCCAGACUCCUACGGGAGGCAGCAGUGGGGAAUAUUGCACAAUGGGCGCAAGCCUGAUGCAGCGACGCCGCGUGGGGGAUGAAGGCCUUCGGGUUGUAAACUCCUUUCGCUAUCGACGAAGCCACUUGUGGUGACGGUAGGUAGAUAAGAAGCACCGGCUAACUACGUGCCAGCAGCCGCGGUAAUACGUAGGGUGCAAGCGUUGUCCGGAAUUACUGGGCGUAAAGAGCUCGUAGGUGGUUUGUCGCGUCGUCUGUGAAAUCCCGGGGCUUAACUUCGGGCGUGCAGGCGAUACGGGCAUAACUUGAGUGCUGUAGGGGAGACUGGAAUUCCUGGUGUAGCGGUGAAAUGCGCAGAUAUCAGGAGGAACACCGAUGGCGAAGGCAGGUCUCUGGGCAGUUACUGACGCUGAGGAGCGAAAGCAUGGGUAGCGAACAGGAUUAGAUACCCUGGUAGUCCAUGCCGUAAACGGUGGGCGCUAGGUGUAGGGGGCUUCCACGUCUUCUGUGCCGUAGCUAACGCAUUAAGCGCCCCGCC